rnacentral:rRNA from 1 species
UACGUAGGCAGCGAGCGUUGUUCGGAGUUACUGGGCGUAAAGAGUGCGUAGGCGGUUUUCUAAGUUUGGUGUGAAAUCUCCCGGCUUAACUGGGAGGGUGCGCCGAAGACUGGAAGGCUUGAGUUUGGGAGAGGUGUGUGGAACUCCGAGUGUAGAGGUGAAAUUCGUAGAUAUUCGGAAGAACACCAGUGGCGAAGGCGACACACUGGCCCAAUACUGACGCUGAGGCUCGAAAGCGUGGGGAGCAAACAGG